AAUUAACGUUAGCGGCGUGCCUGAUGCAUGCAAGUCAAACGCCCUGAUAAUUCGUAAGGAUUAUCAGGGAGUGGCGGACGGCUGAGUAACGCGUAAGUGACCUGCCUUUAAGUGGGGAAUAACUUGCCGAAAGGCAAGCCUAAUACCGCAGUGUUGGUAAGUUGAGGCUUAUCAGCAAAGUCUUAGGACGCUUGAAGAGGGGCUUGCGUCUGAUUAGCUAGUUGGUAGGGUAAUGGCCUACCAAGGCGAUGAUCAGUAGCUGGUCUGAGAGGACGAGCAGCCAGACGGGGACUGAGACACGGCCCUGACUCCUACGGGAGGCAGCAGCAAGGAAUUUUGCGCAAUGGGCGAAAGCCUGACGCAGCGACGCCGCGUGGGGGAUGACGGCCCUCGGGUUGUAAACCCCUUUUCUCGAGGAAGAAUAAUGACGGUACUCGAGGAAUAAGUCUUGGCUAACUACGUGCCAGCAGCCGCGGUAAUACGUAGAAGGCGAACGUUAUUCGGAUUUACUGGGCGUAAAGCGGGUGUAGACGGCCCCUUAAGUCGGGUAUGAAAUCUCCUGACUCAAUCAGGAGAGGCUAUUCGAUACUGGGGAGCUUGAGGGCAGCAGAGGAAGGUGGAAUUCCCGGUGUAGCGGUGAUAUGCGUAGAUAUCGGGAGGAACACCAGUGGCGAAGGCGACCUUCUAGGCUGUUCCUGACGUUGAGACCCGAAAGCGUGGGGAGCGAAACGGAUUAGAUACCCGUGUAGUCCACGCCGUAAACGUUGGACACUAGGUAUGGGGAGUAUCGACCCUCUCCGUGCCGUAGCUAACGCUUUAAGUGUCCCGCCUGGGGACACGGCCACAAGGCU
rnacentral:rRNA from 1 species